AUACCUUUCUCGGCCUUUUGGCUAAGAUCAAGUGUAGUAUCUGUUCUUAUCAGUAUAAUAUCUGAUACGUGGUUCAAUGAACCACACGAUAUUAAAUAGAUUUUUGUAGGGGGAAGUCUCAUAAAGAUAGCUUGCUAUCAGAGACAUCACACGUCGCUUCUGUAUUGCACUGCUACAGAAGCCUGGCGCCCAAUUC